GCUGGCUUAUGUAGCGUCAAAGGAAACUUUAAAGGAAGCUACAGUAAAGCCACCAAAUAAUUUGGUCAACGAAGAAGAACAUAACACACCACCAGUGGCGUUGAGCGGUGGUGGAACUGGUGGAUACCAGCAGUCGAAAAAAAUGUGCAUGUACACUCCCGACAUAAACUACUUCUGUGUGGCACAGAUGAAGGGGCUCUAAAUAAAAUCCGGCUUAUUUUUCGGCAAUAAUGACAAUAUCAAAUAAAGCUUUAUGGCAAUAA